UAUAAAUUUCAUAUAGCCACGACAUUCUAUCAACAUACAUUGGGGGUAAAUGAAGCGACAUAGACCUGGAGGGGUCUACAAAAGGUGCACAGGUGGAGAUAUAAAGAUGACAAGGUGUGCACAUGCUCCCUAGAGAACCAGCAACAACCCAUCAGGUUUAUUUCAAUAAUGAUCCUUCCGCAGGUUCACCUACGGAAA
rnacentral:misc_RNA from 1 species